rnacentral:lncRNA from 1 species
GGUUUAGGGUUUAACAACCAAAAACAAAGAAAUUGCAGUAAAAAUAAAAGCAUAUAUUAGAAGCAGCAAGAAAAAUUCUCCCAAAAGGGGUAGAAACACGUACGUUAGUGAUGGCAAUAAAAUUAUAGGAGUAUGAACGAAGUGUAAUUUGGCAGUGCAGCCUCGCAAUUGUAGGAUUAUGUACUUCUAAAGAUCAGCAAAAACCUUUUUACCACUUUAAGUAUCUGAAAACCAGCAGGAUGCUCCAAAAAUUAUUGUUAUGCAAAGAAUUAGCGCCCCGCUGAAAAGGAGAAAAAGAAGAAAUCUUUGUAACUUCGGAACUUUCUCAUGGUUAACUUCUCCUUCGUUGAUUCUUUCUCUGCUUUGAGUCUCGUUGAAAUUCAAAGCAGUUGGGUUGAAUAUUUUUUGCUCUGUUGAUUUCUUCUCUUUUUUGUCGAAAGAUUUUCUUUUCUCCGAAGGUUAUAUACUUGCAUCGUUAACAGAAAAUGUUAUGAAUGCAGAAUGGUCACUUACUCUUCCCCUUUUAUUUAUUAAAUUAAAAUUUAAAAGACAUGAAGAUUAGGGUUGAAACGUUUUUUAGAGAGUUCUGAAACGUUGCCUUUUCUGUUUCCUUAUUACUAGGAAG